UGAGGAAUACUGCACAAUGGGCGCAAGCCUGAUGCAGCGACGCCGCGUGGGUGAAGAAGGUUUUCGGAUCGUAAAACCCUUUUCUGUGUGACGAGCAAGGACGGUAGCACAGGAAUAAGUCUCGGCUAACUACGUGCCAGCAGCCGCGGUAAAACGUAGGAGACAAACGUUAUCCGGAGUUACUGGGCGUAAAGGGCGUGUAGGUGGUAGUGUAAGUCUGGCGUGAAAUUUUUCGGCUUAACCGGGAAAGGUCGUCGGAUACUGCACAACUAGAGGACGGUAGAGGCGUGUGGAAUUCCGGGUGUAGUGGUGAAAUGCGUAGAGAUCCGGAGGAACACCAGUGGCGAAGGCGACACGCUGGGCCGUACCUGACACUGAUGCGCGACAGCAUGGGGAGCAAACAGG
rnacentral:rRNA from 1 species